rnacentral:lncRNA from 1 species
GUAAAGACAAUUAGUUCACUCACGAAUACACACAGACAAUUAGGUAGAUCUCCGCACAAGUCCACACCACGCUCCUAGUAAAACCUUCUCAAUCAAUCACUCACCACCAACACUACUCUCUACCAUUUCUCCAAUGGCCGCCGCCGCCGAUCACUCCGAUGUCGAACUCGAGUUUCGCUUCUUCCGCGUCCACAAAGACGGCACUAUCCACCGAACCCAUCCCCACAUUGACAAAGUCCCACCCUCCGACGACCCGACCACCGAGAUCCGAUCCAAAGACGUCACCAUCUCAACCGACCCACCCAUCUCCGCCCGCAUUUUCCUACCCAACUCCGCCGACCCGAGCCGGAAGCUCCCCCUUCUCCUCUACCUCCACGGCGGCGGCUUCUGCUUCGAGUCGCCCUGCUCCUCCACCUACCACAACUACGUCUCCACCGUCGCCGCUUCCGCCAACGUCAUAGCCGUCUCAGUCGAGUACGGCCUCUUCCCGACCCGGCCCAUUCCCGCUUGCUACGACGACUCCGGGGCCGCCCUACAAAUGGGUCGCGACACAUGCGGACAAAACCGGGUCGGAGCCGUGGAUAAACGACUACGCCGACUUGACCCGCGUCUUCGUCGGCGGGGAUAGCGCUGGAGGGAACAUAGCGCACAAUUUGGUGUCCCGAGUCGGGUCAAUCGGGUUACCAGGAGCG